AGAGAACCUCAGCAUUAGUGCUUUUCAUUAAGCUUUUUCAUCAUGGAUAUUCUUGGGCUCAAUAUUAGAUAACAUUUUGAAUAGUCUUGUCCUCUUGGCUUUUGAUUAAGGUGUUGAAUAGAUCUUAUUCAAGAAAUGGAGUGCCAUACAGAUUUGUAAACCAUCUCUGAGUAGUAAAUAUGAAGAGCAGAACUAGUAUACUUAAAACAAGGCAACACAUGUCAAGGCAAAUUUAUUCUCAAUAGAACAUCCUACUUGAAGCACAAAUAUUUCAAAACUAUAAAACAACAGAUAUUGCCUUACAAGUAUAGUGGAUUAUUAGAUGCCAUUUAUUUUUUUAAAUGCUCAGCUACUUGAUAUCAGGUUGAAUUUAAAUGAUAAUAAUUGCCUCUUAAUGUGUAAUUAUAAAAUUAUUUAUUUAGCUUGUAGUUGUUUUUUUUAAUCAGUUCAAGAUGUUGAGUAUUGAUAACUAAUCAACUACUAGCCUGGGAGAUAAAAGCCAAAGCUGUAAACAGACAGGUCAGGUAAAUAUAUGAAUGAAGAAAUUGAAACUAGAAGUCUAAUUAUAAGGCAAGUAUUUUUCCUUCAUAUCUUAUUGAACAUAGUCAAACCAUGUAAUACUUAUAGGCUUAACUAUUGUUUCCAUAGAAACAAUGCUUUUUUAAAUAUCAUGAGAAGUUUCCAUAUUUCAUCAACUUAAGAAGCACACAUUCUCUGCUGCCAACAGUACCAAUUAGUCAUCCAAGCAACAAAUAUUCCUUGGUAAUCUGCUAUCAGGUGACAGUUUUCUCUUUGGCAUUUUUAUGAAUUAAAGCUUUCAAGGCCAAACUUCAGGUUUGCUUAGCAUAUUCCUGUACUAGAUAUCAACAAAUGUUUGAUGGUCUGUCUGGUUCAUCUCUUAACACUAUGAAGAUGGCUACACUAAGCUUAACAAGCAAACAUUCUGUUGCCAACAGUACCAAUUUGUCAUCCUAUCCAAGCAACUACUAUUCCUUGGUAAUCUGCUAUCAGAUGAUUACAGUUUUCUCUUUGGCAUUUGUAUGAAUUAAAGCUUUCAAAGCCAAACCUUAGAUUUGGUUAGCAUAACCCUGAACUGCAUAUCAACAAAUGUCUAAUGGUCUGUCUGGUUCAUUUCUCAACACUAUGAAGAUGGCUACACAGGUAUCAGCUAUCAGCAGUGCACCCCUAUGAUAUACAAGUCUUCAUUGCCAACUCACUCUGCCAAAUAGUGUGUACACCUUUCUUGCAUUGGUAGUGACCCACUUUACUGUACUUCAAUGUCAGGAGUCUGGAUAUGUCAGGCAACGGAUAUCAAUUUUGUGUCCAAGGUUACUUAGGUAAUUCUCUAAGAACAAUAGGUUAGUGGGUCAAUCAUUGUCCACUGAUGCUCCACUGAUGCCUUGGUUCUCCACUGAUGCCUUGGUUCUCCACUGAUGCCUUGGUUCUCCACUGAUGCCUUGGUUCUCCACUGACGCCUUGGUUCUCCACUGAUGCCUUGGUUCUCCACUGAUGCCUUGGUUCUCCACUGAUGCCUUGGUUCUCCACUGAUGCCUUGGUUCUCCACUGAUGCCUUGGUUCUCCACUGAUGCCUUGGUUCUCCACUGAUGCCUUGGUUCUACACUGAUGCCUUGGUUCUCCACUGAUGCCUUGGUUCUCCACUGAUGCCUUGGUUCUCCACUGUUGCCUUUAUAGCCAUAAAGUUUAUCUAGUGAUCUACAUAUCAAGACUAAAUGGUCAAUUAAACAUGAGGUCAAGGAAAAAGGAUGAACAUUUCAAGGCUACAGAAGGAACAUUAAACGUCUCUCUCUCUGUGAAAAGAUUCUACCGAUCUACAAAUGAUCAACAUGUUUUAUCUUAAGUUCAUCUGCCAUUUCUUCAAAUGGAGCCAUAGUCAGAAUAAGAUUUUCAUCAUUUUUUCCUAAAGUCUUUUCAGUUGUAAAUUAUUUUGUGCAACAAGUUACCAGAAAAACGUCAAGCAAGAGAGGUCACUACACUAAGACUGGAUUGUUUUCUCAAAAGAAUGGAUAGCUGCCUGGUCAUGUGGUAUGUGCCCUGGACUAUUGUGGGGUCAUCUUGAUGCUCAUAUCUUGCCUGAUGCCAUUUAUUCUGCUGGAUGUUUGGUCAAGGAAGAAGAUUCUCUUCAGCUCUCAAGAAACAUUCAAAACAUGUCAAACAUUUGACUAGAAUAUCAAGCAAGUGCAGUGUACAUACCAACAUGAUGAAAAGGUAGACAACAUGAAGAUGUGGACCAACAUGAAGAUGUGGACCAACAUGAAGAUGUGGACCAACAUGAAGAUGUGGACCAACAUGAAGAUGUAGACCAACAUGAUAAAGAUGUAGACCAACAUGAUGUUGUAGUCAAGCAUGAUGAAGAUGGACCGACAUGAAGAAGAAAUGUAAACCAAACUAUUGAUCAAGAAUAGGGAAUAAAAUGUGAACAUCUUGAGAAGUAAUACAAUUCCUAGAGGCAAAACACAGACACAGUAGAUACAUUAGAGAUUGUUUUCUUUUCUACCAUCAUUUAGAGCCUUCCUUGUGCUCUCAGGGAACCUGCCAUUAUGUUUUUACAUACCUAGUACAUUUCCCUAAUGCUACUUCAAAACCAGGCCUUCUCAGGACAAUCUUAGUGACCAAGCUGCAGUAGGAAACAAGAAUUCUCCCAACCUCAGGUUGAGUACCCAUCUACUAGAGUGGCGACACAUACUUCUACACCCACAGUUAUACAUUCUGAACCCUGUAACUCAACCUCACAACAUGGUUUCAUUACUAGAAGUUGUCCUGAAGUUAGGAAAACUAACAGAUACAAUGAAUAGAACAAUCAUUUCUAAUACAGGUACAACUAGUCAAGUGAUGUACUUUAUAAGAACUAAUUAGUUGGAAUUACCAUAAUUGACUUGUAUCUUGUUCUAUAUUUAGGUAUAUCUUGACAAUCAGUCCAGUCAUUUGUUCAUUUUUUUUUUAAAUAUACCUUUUUUUCCCCCUCAAUCUUCUUGUUUCAGUGAAAUGUUUUUAUAUUUUUUGUUUUCGGAGGAGGAAAGUUCUAUGGUAUAGUACCAUUAUUAUUAUUGUAUUAAGCAAACUUGUAUAUGUAUGUUUAUUCAUGAAUAUUAAUGAAGAACAUCACUUCUGGGUCAUCUACCGAAAAUAUUGUAAACACUAUACAUGUCUUCAGUUAACUUUAGAUAUUCUAUAGAGUCAUAACACCAAAGCCUUGCUACAUAUUGCUUAAUUCAAUUUAUUAUCCCCCCUGCUUUUGUGUGCUAUCAUAUUAAUGUUCAUUAGUGUCACAUCCCCGCACAAUUUGUUCUAUGCUCUUAUAGUGUAAAUAGUGACUUAACAUUAUUUAGUUCUACUAAAAUAUUAUUAUAUUAUUAUAUUUAAAAUAAAACUGUUAACAUUUACUAUGCUGUUAUUAAUAUGAAAGCUUUGCUGUGUUGCUAUAAAUGCAGUUUUGAGGUUUAGGCUAAGGGCAUCAUAGAUGAGAAAUGUAGUUACACUCCCCUUAACAGUUCAAAAUAAAAUGUUCCAUAAAUAAAGAGUCUAUUAAUAUUUACUUUUUGGUAUUGACAGACUUCAUUAAAGCAUUGAGCUCAUCCCCUUAAUCUAUUUAAAACUUUCAAAUAGGCCUACAUAUUCACUUUGUCUUAUCUAAUGGUGAUCAUGGGGUAUCCACUUUGUCAUCUCCAUAGUCUCUGGUAUAAACAAUCACUGUCCUAUUGGAGGUUAGGGCUAGGAUGUAAUCUCUAUUUCUGAUGGAACACAUGUAAAACCAACAGUAGACCUAGACUUUAUUAACAGGUCAUGCAAACAUUUUUUCUUAUCUGGCUCUCCCAGAGCUAUUUUUAUGUAUUUUUAUUUUUACUACUUUUGUAGGCUAGUGCUAAGCUGUAUACUUGUACUUCCCCCUAUUAUUAUAUGGGUUAGUGCAAUGCUGUUUCCUGUACUGUUGACCAGUGGUCUGUAUGUCAGUUUUAGUUAUUGUGUACCUGGGACUGCCUGUUAGUUUCAGAAUUAUUUUUCUUUUUUUAAUUUUACUAUAUGUAAAUCUAUUAUUUAAUUUUUUAGCAAUAUAUGUUACAUUAUUUUUCUAAUUGGAACAACUGUCAAAAUAUUUGACAAUAUGUUUUUAAAAAUAUGGCCAAGCCCCGCCCUAUGAUGUCAUAAUGGCCACUUCUAAUGUUUAUGUACUAGAUCUUGUCCUUAUGUUUUUUUUAAGCUGCAGUGUUUUGUAACUGCUGCUUUAGUCAUUGAAAUUAAAGUCUGAUUUUUUAAAUUU